rnacentral:rRNA from 1 species
CCUACGGGAGGCAGCAGUGGGGAAUUUUGGACAAUGGGCGAAAGCCUGAUCCAGCCAUACCGCGUGCGGGAAGAAGGCCUUCGGGUUGUAAACCGCUUUUGUCAGGGAAGAAAUGCUUCGGGCUAAUACCCUGGGGUGAUGACGGUACCUGAAGAAUAAGCACCGGCUAACUACGUGCCAGCAGCCGCGGUAAUACGUAGGGUGCAAGCGUUAAUCGGAAUUACUGGGCGUAAAGCGUGCGCAGGCGGUUCUAUAAGACAGAUGUGAAAUCCCCGGGCUCAACCUGGGAACUGCAUUUGUGACUGUAGAGCUAGAGUACGGUAGAGGGGGAUGGAAUUCCGCGUGUAGCAGUGAAAUGCGUAGAUAUGCGGAGGAACACCGAUGGCGAAGGCAAUCCCCUGGACCUGUACUGACGCUCAUGCACGAAAGCGUGGGGAGCAAACAGGAUUAGAUACCCUGGUAGUCCACGCCCUAAACGAUGUCAACUGGUUGUUGGGAGGGUUUCUUCUCAGUAACGAAGCUAACGCGUGAAGUUGACCGCCUGGGGAGUCGGCCGCAAGGUUGAAACUCAAAGGAAUUGACGGNGUGAGAGNGCGACGACGACGACGAGGGAGAGG